CAAAAAACAACAGAAAAAACUGUUUUCUUCCAGAAUAUCACAUAAUCACAAAAGCCUGAUGCCUAAAAAUGAUUUCGGUUGUCAGGCACCCCCAGACAGGCAGGACAUUUUAGCCUGUUUCAGAGGUUCCUAGCUACAGGACUUCACUAAGAUCCUGGAGGAUGACCUGUACGCCAUCAUCAAGCCCAGUCAGUGGUCCAGAAGAAGAAAUGUGACUUUAAAUGUUGUCAGUUUUUUUAUAUUGUUAAGAUAUUGUGACAGCUAAGUCCAUGUUGUGCUUGUUUUUAAUAGUGGCUGUGUUUCUGAACCGUUAGGGGACUGUGGGAUCCAUUCUAGCCCGGAAAGAUGAUACCAAGACAGAGGAUGUUGUCUGUGAGCAACUUGGUACGUGCUUUUGUCCAGCAGAAUGACAAGAAUUUGAUAUUGCGAUAUUAAUUCGGGAGGCACGGUGGCACAGCGAGUAGCGGUGCUGUCUCACAGCACCUGGGUGGUGCGAGAGGAGGUGGGUUUCAUUUCUGCUCAGUCCAUGUGGAGUUUGCAUGUUCUCCCUGUGUCUGUUUCCUCCUACAGUCCAAAGACAUGCUACUCAGGUUCACCCAUAGCGUGUGAGCGACAGAGAGAGUGUGUUCCACUGAUGUAUGGAUGAGUGACCCAGUGUAGCAGCAUGGAGGACCUCUCAAGAGGAGAGCUGCAAUACUUUGCCUGUGCUGUGAUCUGUAUCCGAAAAGCAGACAUCUUUGUGUUGAAGAAGCCAUCCACCUCCCUGGAUGUGAAGCAGUGUCUGAAAGCAGCCAUCACAUUCGCUCCCUCAUCACUCUAGAUGAGCAUGUGUGUGUGAAACGAGCUCACAUCAUCACCAUCUCUGUUCACUGUACUCUUCGGUACCUUUGUCCUGUUUCUGGGGUGAUGAGUUUGUGUUGUUAUCCUUCAAUGGCAUACUGUGCAGGGCGUACCUUGCCUCAUGGCAUGUGCUUCC
rnacentral:lncRNA from 1 species